rnacentral:rRNA from 1 species
CUUCCAGCAACUGGCCGUGGUAACAAUCAGCCCCGCAACAACAAUGCUAAGUCUUAUGGUCGUGCUCAUGCCAACCACGUUGAUCUCAACGAAGCUCAAGACCAGCCUGCUACUGUGAUGGGUACACUCCUCGUAAAUUCAGUAUCAGCAUCCGUUUUAUUUGAUACAGGUGCAUCGCAUUCAUUCAUGUCAGAAGAUUUUGCAUACAAGCACGACGUUAAAUGUGAGGAGAUGAACACCUCUAUAUUGGUCAAAACCCCCGUGGGACAGUGUCAAACCUCCUUGGUUGGCAUCGAUGUCCCCGUGGAAAUCGAAGGGCUGGAAUUCUAUGCCUCUCCCAUUAUCCUGAAGUCGUCUAACAUCGACCUCAUUUUGGGUAUGGAUUGGUUGAAAGCGCAUACUGCUUCUAUAGUUUGCGCCACUAAGACCGUCCAUCUGCUACACCCUUCAGAUGAAAUAGUUGCUUACCAAGCUCAUCUGGUGCAAAAUGCCGAGGCAAGGCUCUAUGCAUUGAAUGCACUGAACGCUGCACCACUCGAGGGCAUUGAAAACAUUCCCGUCGUGCGUGAAUUCCUCGACGUCUUCCCUGAAGAACUUCCAGGGAUUCCCCCUGCUAGAGCUGUCGAAUUCAUCAUCGACUUGAAACCAGGCACCACUCCUAUAGCCAAGCGACCCUACAAAAUGCCGCCGCAUGAACUCCUUGAGCUUAAGGAGGAAAUCGAC